rnacentral:rRNA from 1 species
UACAGAGGUGGCAAGCGUUGUUCGGAAUUACUGGGCGUAAAGGGCGCGUAGGCGGUUCGUUAAGUCCUGUGUGAAAUCCCCCGGCUCAACUGGGGAACUGCACAGGAAACUAGCGGGCUUGAGUUCGGGAGAGGGAAGCGGAAUUCCGGGUGUAGCGGUGAAAUGCGUAGAUAUCCGGAGGAACACCGGUGGCGAAGGCGGCUUCCUGGACCGACACUGACGCUGAGGCGCGAAAGCUAGGGGAGCAACGGG